rnacentral:sRNA from 2 species
CGAUCGCCCGCGCCGAAUCCACCAGGAGCCGGGGACCCACCUUCCCCAGGGGUGAAUCCGCGUCCGCGGUAGGGCGACUCUUCCCGCCCGAACCCGUCAGCUAACCCGGUAGGCGCUGAGGAAGAACAG